UACGUAGGGGGCAAGCGUUUGUCCGGAGUUACUGGGCGUAAAGCGCACGCAGGCGGUCUUUUAAGUUUGGAGUGACAGUUGGUGGCUUAACUGCCAAAGUGCUUCGAAACUGACAGACUUGAGGGCUUCAGAGGGACACGGAAUUCCGGGUGGAGUGGUGAAAUGCGUAGAGAUCCGGAGGAACACCAAAAGGCGAAGGCAGUGUCCUGGGGAGUACCUGACGCUCAGGUGCGAAAGCCAGGGGAGCGAACGGG
rnacentral:rRNA from 1 species